ACACGAACAGGAUCGACAGAUUGAUAGCCUCCUCGAUUCCGUGGGUGGUGGUGCAUGGCCAUGGAGUGAUUUAUCAGGUUAAUUCUGAUAACAAAUGAGACUCUGGCAUGCUAACUAGUCAUGCAACUCCCGAGCUGUCAGCGUCCCCCAACUUCUUAGAGGGACAAGUGGCGUUCAGCCACCCAAGGUUGAGCAACAACAGUUCUGUGAUGCCCUUAGAU
rnacentral:ncRNA from 1 species